CUUAGCGGAGCAGCCGGGCCGACUGGAUCCAUCCUUAUCCUUCAGCGCUUGCCGAGACGAACAGGGCAUUUCUUUAGAGUGGUCGUGACUGCGACCCUCCCCGCCGCCGAAAUUCUGCCUCAUCCACUGUCCAAACAGAGCCCUUUCUUCCAUCGACACGGACAAAGCACUUAUGAAGACUGAGGUUGUGUCGAACAGCAUUCUAUUGUUGGGAGCAGAACAAAAUUACCACAAAACAAAAAAAAACAAAAUCACCACAAAAUAGAGAAAUCUUUUUUAAUCUAAUUAUUGUUAUGGGCUAGAUUAUAUAGAUAUCUCUAUAUACUUGUUCUGCAGUACAGUUAUAGCCAAACACUCUACCUAGUAUCAUUUAUUAAACUGUCACAUGAUUGUAACUGUCAGCAAUUCUCAUGUGAAUUAAAGAUGUUGAUUAGUGUGAACUGA